rnacentral:lncRNA from 1 species
GUGCUUUUCCGUAAUUGUGCUUUAACUUUACAAAACAGCUACAUACUUUUUGAUAACUUGCGUAGUCAAAACGACUUCGUUUUCAAAGAAAUGAAAUGUCUUGCAAGUUUGUCCACUGGACGAUUUUCGUACGUUUUCAACGUUGUCGAUUCGGGGUACGCUAUUUAUGGUGGAUCAUCUGUAUAUAGUUCCUCAGAUAGAAUUUUCUUGAUAGUCAGAUACUAUCAACAAGACCACAAAGCAUCAUAAAAAAAAAUCCGAUGACUGGGUUUGUUCGUUUAGAUGAGGUUCUCAAGUUGUGAAAAAGUUAGAGGAUAACAAAUCAUCUUUAUCAAAUUUUCAAAUUUGGGAAGCGUAAACUGACUGCAAUUUUUUUUUUAUUUCUCUGCAAUAAGAUUCAUGUGUAUAGAAUUGAAAGUGAAAAUAAAAUUGGGCCUAAAGCGUGGCUAUAUACCUCUCCACAUCAUACAAAGCUUGUAAACAUAUGAGAUGAAUUAUAAUUAACCUUUUUUUUCUGACAAUCGUUUCAUUUCAUAAUCUAAUUGUACCGCUAUUAAAGAAAGUAUAGUGAAUUUUAUAAGCAAGACCCGUUUAACUUGUUAUUCUCGACAAACUUUUUAUAUUAAAGCAAAAUAUAUAUCCUCCUCCUUUUCGGAUCUAAAUGGGAAAACAUUGCAAUUUAAUACGUUUUAUGUCAAUUGAUCUCUGGUAGAGAGUCUCAUUGGCACUCAUCAUACCGUAUAUAUAUCUUCUCAUUUCAUAAAGAUAUGCAUUACCCAAACACGAUAUAUUUUGUUGUUUGUUGCUUACGUUACCUUCAUUGGGAAAUAUUCAAUGCAUAUUCAGUACAACAAAACAUUAUAAACGUAUCCUCAUUGAUGUGCAAAACAAAAAAAUGCAAGUUAAAUAAAUACAAAACUUAUCCCAAAUAAUCGGUAAUCGCCGUAAAACGUAAAAAUUUGACGUUACCAUUUGAGACGCAAUAUCGUGC